rnacentral:lncRNA from 1 species
CUCAAUGGCUUGUUGGUUGGAAACCCAAGCUGAACAUAAUUUCCCCUAAAGCAGAAAUCUUUAUAGAUUAAACCGACAAGGCAACAACUUUAGUAAUCUCCCCCGACAAUUCUUUAAAUCCAACUAGUCUUUACGAAACUUUCAGAUACAUACCCUUAUCCCAAUGGGAUCAAAUGGCAACCUCGACACAAUUGCUACUUUGUAACAAUAAUUAAGGAAACUGAUGAAACAAGAAACCCCUUAGAAUUCAUGCGAGGACAGCGUGAAACCCAAUCAAAAACGGUUCCUCAACCCCUAGAAAAGAGGGAGCACCAAUAUUUUGAAUGGAAAUUUCAAUCAUGUGUCUCCCAGAUUUCUGGGCUUUUCAUCAGACCUUGUAGAUUCACCGCAACAAAUCGAAGGGGGCAAAUCGAGAUCAUAUCACAGAAUGAUGAUCAAAUACCCAACCACCGAACAUCUUUUCAAAUCCGAAAGGCAACCUUGAUGUUACUUUGUAACAUAAUCAUGGGGUUGAUGAAAACCCAAUUUCAAAAAUGGUUCCUCAACCCCAUGAAUAGAGGGAGCACCAAUAUUUCGAAUUGAGAUUUCACAAAUGCUACCGAGACAAAUCGAAGGGGCUAAUCGAGAUCCUAUCACAGAAUGAUGAUCAAAUAUCAAACCAUCAAACAUCUGAAACCCACACCGCCGUGAAUCUAUCUGAAAUUGAAUCAAGGAAAACCAGAAUCAAAACCCUAGAUGUGAAAUUGAAGAGAAUAAAUGAUCGUUAUUCAAUUGAAAAGACGAAUAACAAAACUGAAAAGAAUCAAACGGAAGAGAAAAGGAAGGGGCAAGCUUGAGAAUUUUACCUUGUGGUGGUGAAGUGGAGGGGCAGCGAACACGGCGGUGGUUGGCCGCACCGGAGCGGCUUUAGAGAACCCAAUCCAUUUUGAAUUUCAAAAUUUUUGAGAGAGAGAGAGAGUGAGCCAAGCGUUAGAAAUUCAAAAUUGGAUGUGGGAUAGAGAGAAAGGAACUGGACCCCUUUAUUUAUUGGCUUCUAACAACGGCUAAUUACCGGGAAAAAAAAAAAGAAAGCUUCAAGGGUCGGCAUGCAUUUUUUAUGCAUUUUAUACAGUAAACCAGUUACGACCUUCUUUGCAAUUUUUUGUUGCGAUUUGCCAAUUCCUUCCGAGGUCCUUAAUGUUUCUGCCUCAAGUAAUCGGGCAUAUAAGUUGCUGUUUGUAUUUUGUACAAUCAUGUUUGUGUUUUAGAUCUUUUGUUAUGGAACUAGUCCAAUUUAUGAACUAAAUAUAUUUUAUGGUGAUUUUUUCAAACGUAUUCUUAAACUUUGGUAGCGAAUAAAUUUCACAUUGAAAAUGUAAAAUUCCUAGAUAGUAGUCUGGAAGAAAAUUCAUCUUGCUUAAUUUGAGAUUUUUAUGAUAAAAGAAAAAAAGAUUUUUAUGAUAACAUGUUACCAACGUGAAAAUUGCACAUAAUAUUUGACCGGAAAAUUAAGGAGUUGGACAAGAUCGAGUAAAAGUGGUGUGUACUUCCGUACAA